UACGAAGGGGGCUAGCGUUGUUCGGAAUUACUGGGCGUAAAGCGCGCGCAGGCGGCUAUCCAAGUCAGUGGUGAAAGCCCGGAGCUCAACUCCGGAACUGCCAUUGAAACUGUUUAGCUUGAGGACGAGAGAGGUGAGUGGAAUUCCCAGUGUAGAGGUGAAAUUCGUAGAUAUCAGGAGGAACACCGGUGGCGAAGGCGGCUUCCUGGACCAACACUGACGCUGAGGAGCGAAAGCCAGGGGAGCAAACGGG
rnacentral:rRNA from 1 species